CCAUGUGCGGCUGAUGACAGCACAGCUGCUGAGACUCUGUGAUUGCUCAGUCUCAAAGUAAACGCGCUGACGCACUGGAA
ensembl:snoRNA SNORD105B small nucleolar RNA, C/D box 105B